GACGAACGCUGGCGGCGUGCUUAACACAUGCAAGUCGAACGGAAAGGCCCUGCUUUUGUGGGGUGCUCGAGUGGCGAACGGGUGAGUAACACGUGAGUAACCUGCCCUUGACUUUGGGAUAACUUCAGGAAACUGGGGCUAAUACCGGAUAGGAUCUCCUGCUGCAUGGUGGUCGUUGGAAAGUUUCGGCGGUUGGGGAUGGACUCGCGGCUUAUCAGCUUGUUGGUGGGGUAGUGGCUUACCAAGCUUUUGACGGGUAGCCGGCCUGAGAGGGUGACCGGGCACAUUGGGACUGAGAGACGGCGCAGACGGCUACGGGAGGCAGGAGUGGGGAAUCUUGCACAAUGGGCGGAAGCCUGAUGCAACAAUGCCGGGUGCGGGAUGACGGCCUACGAGUUGUAAACAGAUUUGGCCGGUGACGAGGAGGGAGUGACGGUACUGGGUAAGGAAGCAACGGCUAACUACGUG
rnacentral:rRNA from 1 species